rnacentral:rRNA from 1 species
GACGAACGCUGGCGGCGUGCCUAACACAUGCAAGUCGAGCGGAGUCGAUCGACGGAAGCCUUCGGGCGGAAGAUGGUUGACUUAGCGGCGGAUGGGUGAGUAACGCGUGGGCAACCUGCCUCGAAGACCGGGAUAACAGCCCGAAAGGGCUGCUAAUACCGGAUGUGGUCAAGGAUCCGCAUGGAUUUUUGAUUAAAGGGGAAACCCGUUUCGAGAUGGGCCCGCGUCCUAUCAGCUAGUUGGUGAGGUAAAAGCUCACCAAGGCGACGACGGGUAGCCGGCCUGAGAGGGUGACCGGCCACACUGGAACUGAGACACGGUCCAGACUCCUACGGGGGGCAGCAGUGGGGAAUCUUCCACAAUGGGCGAAAGCCUGAUGGAGCGACGCCGCGUGAGCGAAGAAGGCCUUCGGGUUGUAAAGCUCUGUCUGGAGGGACGAAGGAAGUGACGGUACCUCCGGAGGAAGCCACGGCUAACUACGUGCCAGCAGCCGCGGUAAAUCACGUGUA